UGGCCAUGGCUGCGGUCAGACAGGAAAGAUGGCAAUAUGUUGGCAUAGCAGGUUUUCAGUUCAACAGCUAUGCCAGCAUCUUGCCUCCUCUCCAGUUCCAAGUUACAGAAGCAAUGCUA
ensembl:miRNA